rnacentral:rRNA from 1 species
UACGGAGGAUGCAAGCGUUAUCCGGAAUGAUUGGGCGUAAAGCGUCCGCAGGUGGCGAUGUAAGUCUGCUGUUAAAGAGUGAGGCUCAACCUCAUAAGAGCAGUGGAAACUACAUAGCUAGAGUGCGGUAGGGGCAGAGGGAAUUCCUGGUGUAGCGGUGAAAUGCGUAGAGAUCAGGAAGAACACCGGUGGCGAAAGCGUUCUGCUAGACCUGUACUGACACUGAGGGACGAAAGCUAGGGGAGCGAAUGGG